rnacentral:ncRNA from 2 species
CGCAUAGCACCGGGGAGCUGGAGAGGCCGGCUGAGAGGGGAUUCCGCUUGCGUGCGCAACAAAUCCCGACCCGUAUACCUGAUCUGGAUAAUGCCAGCGUAGGAACUGAUUUAUUGAUUGCG